ACAAGAGCGCAGGCGCAGCGCUAUAUUCGCCCCGCACAACUUCACUUCGGUCAACUUCGUCAUUUAGUGGUGGUCGAAACUUCGAUGUGUGUGGUAGUGAAGUUUAACUUUUCUAACAAAUCUCACAAAAUAUAACAAUAACUAGCAACUAAAGUACAAUUUCAUAUUUGAACGUGUUGAUAGAAACAUUUAACGUGUCUGUAGUUCUAUAAAUAGUAUUCAAAAUGUGUGAUAAUACCAAUCCUUCGACGCAAAGUAUAGCGGACUACUUAGCUCAGUUGCUCAAAGACAGGAAGCAACUGGCUGCGUUCCCGAAUAUUUUCAUGCACAUGGAGAGACUUCUGGAUGAAGAAAUUGCAAAAGUGCGAGCCAGUUUAUUCCAAAUCAAUGGCGUCAAAAAGGAACCACUUAUUCUACCAGAGCCCGAAGGGAUGGUCACCACACUCACAGAAAAAGUAUACGUGCCAGUCAAAGAACAUCCAGACUUCAACUUCGUGGGAAGGAUUCUCGGCCCCAGAGGUAUGACGGCAAAACAGUUAGAACAGGAAACAGGAUGCAAAAUCAUGGUCAGAGGCAAAGGAUCCAUGAGAGACAAGAAAAAGGAGGACGCAAACAGGGGCAAGCCGAACUGGGAGCACCUGGCUGAUGACUUGCACGUGCUUCUGACGGUCGAGGAUACGGAGAACCGCGCUAAGAUCAAGCUAGCGCGCGCCGUCGAGGAGGUCAGGCGCCUGCUUGUGCCUCAAGCGGAUGGUGAGGAUGAGCUGAAGAAACGCCAGCUAAUGGAGUUGGCCAUUAUAAACGGCACAUAUCGCGACUCCAGCGCCAAGGCGGUCGUGCCCGUCAACGGUCAGUGCCUAAUAACUGACGAGGAAUGGCGGCGCGUGGCAGCGGCCGCGGCCGAGACGCAGCGGCUGCUGGCGCCGGGCGGCGGCGUGGCGGGCGUGGGCGGCGUGGCGCUGCGCACGCAGGCGCCGCUGGGCGCGCCGCUCAUCUUGUCGCCGCGCAUGUCGGCGGCGCAGGGCGCGCAGGCGGGGCUGCUCAACGGCACGGGCGCAGGCGCGGCCGCCGGCUUGUUGUCGCCCGGCGAGCCCGCGCACCAGCUCAUCUACGCGUCCCCCUACGCCGACUACGCCAACUAUGCGGCGCUCACCGCCGCCGCCAACCCCCUCCUCACGGCCGAGUACGCCGCCGCCGACCAUACGGCGUCGAGAUACCUACUUGCUGGCUUUUGACAUUGGCCGCAAUCGCCUCAGCCCACAUUAAGAUACGACCGGCUGCAACACGCGCCGUAUCGCCCGGCGCAACACUAUUACCGUCCUUGAUAUUCUCGAACAUGCUUCCGAUCAGGACGCCCCCACACAGUCAUAAUAAAGCCAUGAUCAAUAAUCGUAGAAUAAGAUAUUGUUAUAAGUACGGUUAGCCUAGCGACUCAAUCGUUUUGUACCUACGAUGUUAUUAUCUUAAUUUUUAUGAGCAUUGUUUUCUUCUACGACUGUUUGUACAGUUACACACAAAGUAUAAUUUUUGUUUUCAAACGAUAUAUUAUUAUUUAUUUUAUACAGCAGAUUAUUUUAAUAUUUAUACAAAGUAAUAUAAAUGUGGAACAUAUUUAUUGCAAAUUAUAUUUGAACGUUGCCUCGUAUUAGGGUUGAUGGCAGUUGAUGACGUAAUCGUUUUAAAGUAGAAAAUAUUUUUAGUUUAAUAUAUUAAUUAAAACUGCCAAUAGAACUCUGUUUAAGUUACCGACGUUUCGUAUACAAAGACAUAGAUUUUUAUAUAUUUAUUUAUUGAUUUACAUCUCGUCACUGACGUUCUUCGUGUUAGAGACAUAUAGAGCCCAUUCAUUAGAGUUCUUUGAUAACCCUUGCUUGUAACCCAACUAAUCUAAUAACAUUUUGUUAAUGUAGAUCCGACACUCAUUGAGUUUCUAAUAAGACCUUUCUUUCGAUGGCAGCAUUUUAAUAAACUCUCAAAUCCACCGUUAUUGCAUGUGGUAUUCGUCCUUUUUUAGAUUUUCAGUCGAAUACAUCUUUUGUGUUAAUAACAGUAAACAUAUUAACAACAGUAUCACUGAAUGAAAUAAUGAAUUUACUACUAUUCAGCGAUUACAAGCAAAAGGGACCAAAUACGAAUUGAAUUAUACAAGAAGAACACUUACUUUUAACUUUUUAACAACACUGACAAAUUAAUGAUGCAUACACUUUACACGUUGCGAUCAAACUAUGGAACAUUCUAGAUAGGCGGUUUUACAUGUUUGUCGGUCGUGACAAUAACAUUUUACUGUACACACCGUGCGAGCUGUUAUUGUUACGAAGACGUCGUAAUUUAUUAAUUUAUUAGCCAUAUUAUUAUAUUUAUAAACAUACCAUAGGAUUAAGUAUUAUUAUUAUCUUUUAAAGAUUUCUAGUUAGGUUAGAAAAGAGUGAGCUUUAUGAAAAAUAUAUACAACCGUAUAUUGUAGAUUAUAUGCCGCAGUAACAACUGUCGAGUCAAUAUUACGAAUGAAAUUAUAAAGCCAGCCAUUACCUGUACCUUACCGGGAGUGCUUGCGCCCGAGAUAUGUUAUUUUGUUAUUAUUUCCAAAGCAAUAAAACGAUAGGUAAUAUCUGUAGGCCUAAGCAUAAUAAUAGGAGUUAGUGUUACUGCCAAAAAUAUCUUUGAUUUAAAAAUGUAUAAUAAGUAUUAUUGAAUUGACAAUGACGAGUAUUUGGCAGUGAUAGGUAACUACUUUCGAACGUUAGGUAGGUAUAGGGAAUUUUAAGAGCUAAUCUUUUCUUAUGAGAUUAAAUUUCUUUUCAGCAUUUAAAUGUAUUCGUCGAUCGCCUGAAGCUUUGUUUACCCAGUAAAAUUUGUAUUACAGAAAAUGUAUUAUUUACAGUAAAGAUUUCCAGUGAUUUUAUGGUUGUUUUUUAAACAAAGCGAAGGGUGGUUGAUCUUUUUGGAUGAAGGGUUGAAAAAAAUGGAGUUGUGACACAGAUGAUCAAUGUGCAUAUGCCGCUAGGUGUCGUGCGGAGGGCCGGACGCCUGGCUCAGGUGAGGGACCACCCUUACCAGCGCACGGCAUUACCGGCGCCUUAAAUCCCGCCAAAACGCUCUCACGCCGCCAUUUUGUUCACAAGGUGCGUGCUAACGGCGCGGAGGAACUAACCGGAGACGCGGCCGCCCGCCACCCGCCGGGCCGUGACGUCGCGUAACAUUCUCAUCGGAACAUCGACCACCAUGUAGCUAUAGCUGUUGGGCCUUUCACGUUAACAUAUACUAUGUAUUAUAAUAGUCUAACUAUUAACAUUUAUAUGCCUGUUAUGUUUAUAACAAGAUGAACUUUAUUAACAAUUUUAUAUUUUUGAAAGUGGCACACGCCAUCGACUAUAUUUACUAUUGUAACUUGUACUUCUGUUGUCGCUUGAACGUGUUGUUGUUAGCACGAGUGUUGGUAGGCUCCCGAACAAAGGCGACGCUCAAUGUGUGAUGCACGUGGUUCUUCUUUUAAAUUUUCUCAGUUUGUUCUUACUUUACCUUUGUAGUACGAAUUGUACCAAACUACCAGGCACCAUGUUCAGCGUCGUCAAAAGACUAUGGAAGAAAUUCCUAUAAAGUGUAUGUUGAUUCGGAAUGCAAAAGUCUAUUUAGCAGCUAUUGACAAGUUUACACAGACUGUUAUCGGUAGUCAGAUGUUUUCUCACAGCUGACCUAAAAAGACUUUUCCAUUGCGAAGUCUUCAUAAAAAGACAUCUAUCCAACUCAAGUUGGGUACAGAUGAUCAUGACACGCACAAUAGAGAACAUGAAUGGUUCUGUGAAAAGUACAAAACACGACGUAGAUGUUUGCUGCACUGUGUACGUAGAGGAACCCACCAGAGGUGUGCCGGCGGACGGCGAGGUCUGACAGACUGUGGUCUAAUGUAAGUAUAAUGCUGUCAAAAUUAUAAAAUUAUCGCUUUCAUAAAGUUAAUACAUUGGACUGAUAUUCGGAGUAGUCUAAUCUAAGGUCGCCGUCAUACAUUUAUUGACUUCACAUUUGUUUGGCAAUAAUAUAUAUUUUAUCCUUAACCAAAGACUAAUAUUAUUGUUUUUGAAAGCUAUUCAGAUCAAAUUAAAAUUACAUUCGUCUUCCUCGGUUUACUUCGUCUCGGUCAGUAAGUGUAUGACCUUAAUAAAUUAUUCUUUAAGAGAUAUAUUUAUAGCAUUGAUUUUUACAUUGUUUAGUGCUUUAUUAUUUAUAAAUAACAAAUUGAAUAUUUGUGCAUCCCAAGUGCCUUAAUUAAUGUACAAUAUUUUCAUCUGUGUGGUUCUACACAAUUUGUUAUUUGCUUAUUCGUAGUUAAGUUAGAAGAGAUUAAAUUAUUGUUAACUUUUCUAAAUGUUAAUCUUUAUACAUUAUUGUCGUCACUUUCUAAAUAUUAAUCAUGUGGGGAACUAUUUGUCCAAACUUUUUAUAUUAGUAUGUGUUAGACUUUCAGUAGAUUUGGAAAGCAUAUUAUUAAUGUAAGUGCCUUCGUUACAAUCUCCUUUGGGAAUCUCUAAAGAACAUCUAUCUCAUGGUGAAUUUCAGCAAAAAGCAAUAUGCAGUUAUUGCUUUCGAAUAUAUUAAGAUAUGAAAUUAUGUUUGGCGCUACAUCUCAAAAACUUGGUAAUCAAAAAUCUCAGUUUCUGCUGAUCAAAUUUUAGUAACUAGGCGAUCUACCUUAAUUCUGUAAGUGUUUGUAUAUAGCUUACAUAGAUUGUUUAAAAGCAAUAAUUUACAAUAACUACAGUAAUUUUAGUGCAAUAGCAAUGUUAUUUCUAAUUUAAUAUUUUAUUUUAUAAAUCUCAGGAUAUUAAUAUGUUGAGGAAAUAUUAUACAAGAUUUAAUAGAGAUCUGAUAUUGAGAUUAAAAUACGGUAGAUGAAAUAAUAUCGCGUUCGUUACAUGUGAGUGAAGAUAUAUUUUCUAUAAAUAAAAAUUAAAUCAUUUAAAUAUAUUAAGAAUUAGAUUUAAAAGAUAUGUUUAGAAAUAUUAUGAAGGACAAAAUUUUUUUUGGAAUCAAUUUUAUGCGGUGCUCUUGAUUCACUUUAUAAAUUUAAAAUAACUAUGUAUUUUUCUAGAGUCCCAAGUUAGCUUUUACAGUUGUGUUGUCUGUUUCACUUGGCGAUAUAUUAUAACGAUUAUAUUUAUAUUCUUUAAAUAAUUAAGUAUCAUCUAUAUACCUACGGCUAUCAUUGAAGUUGUUAACACUCCGUCCGUAAAUUACUUCAUAUUAUAAGUACUUAAUUGUUGGUCUCCCUCAUAGUUAAGAGUUUGCAAAUUCAAAUCUAGUUGCGACCCAAAACGUGUUAACACUAAACCCCAACAUUUUAUUAAGGAAUUCUACUCUUAAAUGUUUUAUCAUACGAUCUCUACUAAAACAAAUCUUAGCGAACUCUUCGCUAAGUGGACAAAUUAUGAUCAUAAAUGCUUAUUUAAAACCAUUUCACACUUUCGUAUUUGCACAAAUCUUUAUGCUUGUAAACAAUUUCGUUAAUAUAAGCUUUAGUCUCCAUUUACAUUUAAAAAUAACUGCAUACCUAGUGUGUACAAAUUUUGCUGUUAAACGAAAAGCAUUUAACUAUGAAAUAGAAUUUAAUGCCAUAACACCUACAAAUGACAUACUUCACCAACAAAAGUAUGUAUGUGAUGGAUUAACGUCGUACAAAUGUUAUAAUUACGUUCUGCUUGUAACUAGUUAUUGUAUAUUGUGUUUCAUGGCAGCAGAUAUCGUUUACGCUUACAUGACACGGAGGGAAACAUUUUUAUUCUUGUUGAGAUUCAAAACCGCGAAUGUAACACUCCAAAUUGUAAAAAUACCAUGAAUUUACGUCAUCACUCAUUCAGUGACGAUAUCGGCCUUAAAGGCAAAUAAAAUGAUUAUAGCUUGAGCGUUUGAUAUUAAAAGCUGUAAUUCACAAAUUCCUUGCUAAAUUAAAUGUCGCGGCAGACGGCCAGUUACACCAUAAUAUCGCCUAUGUACAUUACUCAUACAAAUAUAAACACACAUCGCAGUAAUGGUCGGAAUAUGGUCUGCUAAAAGAAGUUCCUUCUCUAUUUUUUUCAAAAAACCACAUUUUUGUUUUUAUUUUUUUAAUUUAUUUGUUGAGGAAACCUAACAUCAUGGCACCUUAAAUAUUUAAGAACAAAAAUAAACUUAUUGAGGCCAAUUACCAGAUUAAUUAUUUAUUUGUUGUAUUUUGAGUGAGUGCCCUCAGCUCUCCCCAUUUGUCUGACCAAGUAAUUAGAGUCAUAUGCGGCAAAAAACAAAAACACUGAUUCGUAUAUAAACUACUAUAAAGACUAUUUUAAACUUUUCAAUUAUAAAAUCAGGUGAACUUUAAUGAUAAAAGCACAUUGAGAAACCUAGAACCGACCCAUUACGUACAUUUUAUUUUAACUUCACAGUAGGUACUACGUAUAUAAGUGUGUCAUUCAUCCAUAGGGAAGGCCCGUGCCCCAGUAGUGGGGACGUUAAUGGGAUGGUGAUGAUGAAGUGUGUCAUAUGAGCGUAUACGAUAUCCUGACAAAGUAGUUGUUUCUUGAAACAUGUUUAGUGCCAUGAGCAGACGGGCUUAACACAUGUAAUGUCAUUGUUUGUUUUAUUAUUGUGUACUUAUUAUCUACAUUAUGGCAGUUCACUAAUAAAGUGCCUUAAAAUGAACUUGUACAUACUUAUUAUUAUAAUGUUUCAAUAAAGUAUUAUUCGAGGAAUAACAAAUCUUACAAUUUUAGUUUUCCAAAAACAAAAUAGAAAUACUUUUAUUACUUAUAGUUAAGUGAGAUUGUGCAUAUUAUGUCUGUUUUGAUGUGUGUUUAAGAUUGAUUUGGCAUUAGUAAAUAUUUGGAAAAUA